GUCUGAAAUAUGUCUUUAAGAUUAUGUUCGUUCAAUUUUUAAGCCAUCCUUUUAUUUAUUUAUUUUUUUUGAGACAGGGUCUCGCUCUGUCACCCAGGCUGGAGUGCAGUGGUGUGAUCAUAGCUCACUGCAGCCUCCAACUCCUAGGCUCAAGCAAUCCUCCUGCCUCAGCCUCCCAAGCAGCUGGGACUACAGGUGCUCACCACCAAGUCCAGCUAAUUUUUUUAAUUUUUAUUUGUAG
rnacentral:lncRNA from 1 species